GGCCGGCUGGCCUAAUGGUUAAGGCGUCAGUUUCCGGUGCGCCGUGACCAGCUGAAGAUUCCGAGUUCGACUCUCGGGUUGGUCG